rnacentral:rRNA from 1 species
UACGUAGGUGGCAAGCGUUGUCCGGAAUUAUUGGGCGUAAAGCGCGCGCAGGUGGUUUCUUAAGUCUGAUGUGAAAGCCCCCGGCUCAACUGGGGAGGGUCAUUCGAUACUGAUCGACUCGAAGGCAGGAGAGGGUAGUGGAAUUCCCGGUGUAGUGGUGAAAUGCGUAGAUAUCGGGAGGAACACCAGUGGCGAAGGCGACUACCUGGCCUGUUCUUGACGCUGAGGCGCGAAAGCUAGGGGAGCAAACGGG